rnacentral:rRNA from 1 species
UACGGAGGGUGCAAGCGUUAUCCGGAUUCACUGGGUUUAAAGGGUGCGUAGGCUGGUAUUUAAGUCAGUGGUGAAAUUUUCGUGCUUAACAUGAGAGCUGCCAUUGAUACUGGAUACCUUGAGUGUAUUUGAUGUGGGCGGAAUGUGUUGUGUAGCGGUGAAAUGCAUAGAUAUGACACAGAACACCGAUAGCGAAGGCAGCUCACAAAGUUACAACUGACGCUGAUGCACGAAAGCGUGGGGAUCAAACAGG